GAAGGUAUAGCUCAGUGGUAGAGUGCAUGCUUAGCAUGCAUGAGGUCCUGGGUUCAAUCCCCAGUACCUCCA
rfam:Camelus ferus unplaced genomic scaffold scaffold954, whole genome shotgun sequence.